GGAUGGCUUCAGUCUCGGUUAGCACCUUGAAUGCGACCCAGUGUAGCUUAGUGAGAGCGUGAGACGAACAGCCUCAGCAUGCCGCUGCUGAAGAGGAACAUCACCGACACCAGUUUCGUCAUCAGCAUCGAGAGUGGCGUCGAAGAGAUCGAGGAGGAAAAGCACCCAACGCCAGCCGCCAACGAAGAUUGUGAUUUUCUCGUGAAUUUCAUCACCGGCCAAGAAUCACUGUCCGCCAGCUUUUGCUGCAAGCUUUUCUACACGAUAUUCCGUCUCUGCUUCGCGGGCGACGAAAGCGCCGGGGAUCGAUUGCGGACGGCGAUGAAGAAACGGUCCACGACUCAUACCAUUUGAAUAGUCGAACCUACAGUCAGUGACAAAAGUUAGUAACAAAAUGCUGUUUUAGCAUACAAAAUGCCCAAGAUUGGGACUCGGUAGCAUAGCUUCUGAUAGUGAGAAUUGGCUUAAAUUUGAUUUACGAUUAACAAAAAUCUGAAGUUUUGGCUAUAUUGAACUUAGAUAUUAAAUUUCAGUCAUUUUUUAAAGAAUUGACUUUUUUUUUUAAUUAAAUUAAAAAUUUCUCAGUGACUUCCUUUUGUCUUCGAACAUUUCUCUGAAUCUCUUUGAAAAAUGUCUGAAAUUUCACGAAUUUAUCAUAGACAAAAUUUCAGGUUAUUUUGCUGUUCGUCAUUCAAAUUUCAGCCAAUUCGGACAACCAGUUCUCCAAUUCUGGGCGUUUUGUAUGAAGCAUUUGGUUACUAACGUUUGUAACUGACUGUAUCUUGCAGCAGUAUGAUCAGACACCGCCUGCUGCCAUUCGCUGCAGGCCCACGUGGAUGAAACUCGAAGGUCGAUUGCGACCGAGACGAGCCCAUUAGCAUCGAAGCAAGCCAAAAAAUGCAUACCAACUCUGAGAAGCAAUGCUCACGUUAUGAAUGAGUGGACAGCGUGUGAGAUGAUAUUUUAUACCUUUCUUAGUGCAAUAGAAGCCCUUUAGGAUAGGCCUUCGUCUAACCUUAUAAAACGGUUAUAAAACCUGUCUGGUGAAGAUUGAAGUUUCGUGAACUGGUUUUCAACUUCGACCAAUACAUUUUUGAACCGAGCACGUGUGACUGCAGUAGUAAAGCAAUAAAGCACUAACUUAUAAACAUUAAGCUCAGUCGUUCGUAAUUGAACACCGUACUACUCGUAAGAAAUGUAUAUAGUUUUAUUAUAAGCGAACGGUAAGUGCGAAAGAUCGAUAUUGUGUAAUGAUACGAUUUUAAGAAGUAUGUGAAUAUAUGUUUGAAAACCUUCCAAAUCUA